rnacentral:rRNA from 1 species
CGGACGGGUGAGUAAUGUAUGGGGAUCUGCCUGAUGGCGGGGGAUAACUACUGGAAACGGUAGCUAAUACCGCAUAAUGUCUGCGGACCAAAGCGGGGGACCUCCGGGCCUCGCGCCAUCAGAUGAACCCAUAUGGGAUUAGCUAGUAGGUAAGGUAACGGCUUACCUAGGCGACGAUCCCUAGCUGGUCCGAGAGGAUGAUCAGCCACACUGGGACUGAGACACGGCCCAG